CUUCUUCAUGAGAUGAAGCUGCCAGCAUGAUCUGAAUUUACUUUUGUAAUGGGUAAGAAUAGAUCAUGCGGCAACUUCACCUCUUGAUUGG
rnacentral:pre_miRNA from 1 species